CUGGAACCCUAAUGAGAGAUCAUGAUGCAGCCGUCCUUUUGGAUUUCUUUUUAAUAAUGUGUGACCCUUCACCUUUGAUCCCCUGACCUGCAUUACCUUGGCUCUCAGCACACACUUGUUCAUGGGCGCAUCAAGAAGAGGGACCCACAGAGCUGAAGCCGUGAGGGCUGACACAUUGGAAUGAAGCUGACAGAACUCGUAGAGAGCUUUACCGUUUUGCCAGCUCCCUGUUUGGCUUCAAGACAGUUCCAUUAGUGAAUUCAUUGUGCUCAAAACCCCAAGUUAACUUAGUAACAGAACGUUACUAAAAAUGAAGUAGACUAAGUGACCUAUUCUGGCAUCAUCCAGAGUGGCGGUGCAGGAACUCGGCUGCCUGAUUCAGCCGUGGAGAGCAGGCCCCACCCACGUGCCUGUCCCAGAGCCUCGGUGACCGUGAUAUUCCCCCGUAGCUCUUUUCACGCUACUGUUUACACCCCCCCCCCCCACCCCCCGUGAUGGCCUGUGUGUGUCGAUUACCAUCUCCCUUGAGAAUGGAAGCUCCACAGGAGCAGGCUCUCCAUCUUGUCCCCUCUCCUCAGCACACAGGGCAGUGCCUGGCACCGUGGAGUCUCAAUAAAUGCUGUUGAAUGAA